GUGUCAGCAGCCGCGGUAAUACAGAGGGUGCAAGCGUUACUCGGAAUUAUUGGGCGUAAAGCGCAUGUAGGUGGUUUUGUAAGUUUGAUGUGAAAGCCCUGGGCUUAACCUGGGAAUGGCGUUGAAAACUGCAAGACUGGAGUCGGUCAGAGGGUCGUGGAAUUUCCGGUGUAGCGGUGAAAUGCGUAGAGAUCGGAAAGAACAUCGAUGGCGAAGGCAGCGGCCUGGGACCAGGCUGACACUGAGGUGCGAGAGCGUGGGGAGCAAACAGGAUUAGAUACCCCCGUAGUCC
rnacentral:rRNA from 1 species